GACGUAGGAUGCAAGCGUUGUCCGGAUUUAUUGGGCGUAAAGAGCUCGUAGGCGGUUUGUCGCGUCUGCUGUGAAAACUCAGGGCUUAACCCUGAGCUUGCAGUGGGUACGGGCAGACUAGAGUGCGGUAGGGGAGACUGGAAUUCCUGGUGUAGCGGUGAAAUGCGCAGAUAUCAGGAGGAACACCGGUGGCGAAGGCGGGUCUCUGGGCCGUAACUGACGCUGAGGAGCGAAAGCAUGGGAAGCGAACAGG
rnacentral:rRNA from 1 species